rnacentral:RNase_P_RNA from 1 species
CGAGUUGACUAGACAAUCGCUGUUUCGCCUUUGUGGUGGAAUGGAGGAAAGUCCGGGCUCCAUAGAGCGGGAUGCCAGGUAACGCCUGGGAGGUGAAAGCCUACGGAAAGUGCAGCAGAGAGUAGACCGCCUUAUCUCUUCUUGUAAGCGAUAAGGUAAGGGUGAAAGGGUGCGGUAAGAGCGCACCGCGCAACUGGUAACAGUUGUGGCAUGGUAAACCCCAUCCGGAGCAAGACCAAAUAGGGAGGCAGUGGUUCGCCACAUCGUGUUGCUCGCACGGCUUCCGGGUAGGUCGCUUGAGAUAUACGGUGACGUAUUAUCCAGAUGAAUGAUUGUCCACGACAGAACCCGGCUUAUCGGUCGACUCACCUU